rnacentral:rRNA from 1 species
AUUGAACGCUGGCGGCAUGCCUUACACAUGCAAGUCGAACGGUAACAGGUUAAGCUGACGUGUGGCGAACGGGUGAGUAAUGUAUCGGAACGUGCCCAGUCGAGGGGGAUAACUGCUCGAAAGAGAAGCUAAUACCACAUCCGACCUGAGGGUGAAAGCGGAGGAUCGCACGACCUCGCGCGAUUGGACCGGCCGAUAUCAGAUUAGGUAGUUGGUGAGGUAAAGGCUUACCAAGCCGACGAUCUGUAGCUGGUCUGAGAGGACGACCAGCCACACUGGGACUGAGACACGGCCCAGACUCCUACGGGAGGCAGCAGUGGGGAAUUUUGGACAAUGGGCGCAAGCCUGAUCCAGCCAUGCCGCGUGCGGGAAGAAGGCCUUCGGGUUGUAAACCGCUUUUGUCAGGGAAGAAAAGGUUCUGGCUAAUACCUGGGACUCAUGACGGUACCUUAAGAAUAAGCACCGGCUAACUACGUG